AUUGAACGCUGGCGGCAGGCCUAACACAUGCAAGUCGAACGAGUGGCGGACGGGUGAGUAAUGUCUGGGAAACUGCCCGGUGGAGGGGGAUAACUACUGGAAACGGUAGCUAAUACCGCAUACCAUCAGAUGUGCCCAGAUGGGAUUAGCUUGUUGGUGGGGUAACGGCUCACCAAGGCGACGAUCCCUAGCUGGUCUGAGAGGAUGACCAGCCACACUGGGACUGAGACACGGUCCAGACUCCUACGGGAGGCAGCAGUGGGGAAUAUUGGACAAUGGGGGCAAGCCUGAUGCAGCCAUGCCGCGUGUAUGAAGAAGGCCUUCGGGUUGUAAAGUACUUUCGGCAGAGAAGCGUUACCCGCAGAAUAAGCACCGGCUAACUCCGUGCCAGCAGCCGCGGUAAUAC
rnacentral:rRNA from 1 species